CUACGGAGGGUGCGAGCGUUAAUCGGAAUUACUGGGCGUAAAGCGCGCGUAGGCGGAUAAUUAAGUCAGAUGUGAAACCCCCGGGCUCAACCUGGGAACUGCAUUUGAUACUGAUUAACUAGAGUAUGGUAGAGGUGAGUGGAAUUUCCGGUGUAGCGGUGAAAUGCGUAGGGAUCAGAAGGAACACCAGUGGCGAAGGCGACUCACUGGGCCAUUACUGACGCUCAGGUGCGAAAGCGUGGGUAGCAAACAGGAUUAGAAACCCUAGUAGUCC
rnacentral:rRNA from 1 species